GACGAACCGUGCGAACGUUGUUCGGAAUCACUGGGCUUAAAGGGCGCGUAGGCGGGCUGCCAAGUCUGGGGUGAAAUCCCACGGCUCAACCGUGGAACUGCCUCGGAUACUGGCGGCCUCGAGGGGGGUAGGGGCGUGCGGAACUGUGGGUGGAGCGGUGAAAUGCGUUGAUAUCCACAGGAACUCCGGCGGCGAAGGCGGCACGCUGGACCUCUUCUGACGCUGAGGCGCGAAAGCCAGGGGAGCAAACGGG
rnacentral:rRNA from 1 species